UACGGGGGGGGCAAGCGUUGUCCGGAAUCACUGGGCGUAAAGGGCGCGUAGGCGGCGAGGAUAGUCAACGGUGAAAGCUUGGGGCUCAACCCCGAGUCGGCCGUCGAUACUUCCUUGCUUGAGCACUGUAGAGGCAGAUGGAAUUCCUGGUGUAGCGGUGAAAUGCGCAGAUAUCAGGAGGAACACCGGUGGCGAAGGCGGGUCUCUGGGCCGAUACUGACGCUGAGGAGCGAAAGCGUGGGAGC
rnacentral:rRNA from 1 species